GCAGCAACGUGGUGUGUUGCUGGCGCAUUCGCGGUUGCGAGUGGGUUAACUGAUAGAAGGAUGAUAUCGAUG
rfam:Pantoea dispersa strain SA5 contig_3, whole genome shotgun sequence.